CCUACGGGAGGCUGCAGUGGGGAAUAUUGGACAAUGGGCGAAAGCCUGAUCCAGCCAUGCCGCGUGUGUGAAGAAGGCCUUCGGGUUGUAAAGCACUUUCAGUGGGGAAGAAAGCCUUGGGGCUAAUACCCUCGAGGAAGGACAUCACCCACAGAAGAAGCACCGGCUAACUCCGUGCCAGCAGCCGCGGUAAUACGGAGGGUGCGAGCGUUAAUCGGAAUUACUGGGCGUAAAGCGCGCGUAGGCGGUCUGAUAAGCCGGUUGUGAAAGCCCCGGGCUCAACCUGGGAACGGCAUCCGGAACUGUCAGGCUAGAGUGCAGGAGAGGAAGGUAGAAUUCCCAGUGGAGCGGUGAAAUGCGUAGAGAUCGGGAGGAAUACCAGUGGCGAAGGCGGCCUUCUGGACUGACACUGACGCUGAGGUGCGAAAGCGUGGGUAGCAAACAGGAUUAGAUACCCUGGUAGUC
rnacentral:rRNA from 1 species